rnacentral:rRNA from 1 species
GUUGUAUAGUUAAGUGACUAAGCGUACACGGUGGAUGCCUGGGCAGUCAGAGGCGAUGAAGGACGUACUAACUUGCGAUAAGCGUAGAUGAGGCAGUAAGAGCCACUUGAGUCUACGAUUUCCGAAUGGGGAAACCCAACUGCAUAAGCAGUUAUCUCAAUGUGAAUUCAUAGCAUUGUGAGGCGAACCGGGGGAACUGAAACAUCUAAGUACCCCGAGGAAGAGAAAUCAACCGAGAUUCCGGCAGUAGCGGCGAGCGAAACCGGAUUAGCCCUUAAGCUAAU